rnacentral:rRNA from 1 species
AGCGAACGCUGGCGGCAGGCUUAACACAUGCCAGUCGAGCGGGCAUCCUUGUGGUGUCAGCGGCAGACGGGUGAGUAACGCGUGGGAACGUGCCCUUCGGUUCGGAAUAACUCAGGGAAACUUGAGCUAAUACCGGAUACGCCCUUUUGGGGAAAGGUUUACUGCCGAAGGAUCGGCCCGCGUCUGAUUAGCUAGUUGGUGAGGUUAUGGCUCACCAAGGCGACGAUCAGUAGCUGGGCUGAGAGGAUGAUCAGCCACACUGGGACUGAGACACGGCCCAGACUCGUACGGGAGGCAGCAGUGGGGAAUAUUGGACGAUGGGGGCAACCCUGAUCCAGCCAUGCCGCGUGAGUGAUGACGGCCUUAGGGUUGUAAAGCUCUUUUCUCCGGGACGAUAAUGACGGUACCGGAGGAAUAAGCCCCGGCUAACUUCGUG